CCAGCAAAUGUGGCUGCUCUCCAGAGUCUGCUGAGACCUUUGCCUAUGGGGAGGCCAUAAGGCCUCUACCAUAUACUCUUCAAGCAGGGGAACCACUUCUCCUUGUGUGGCAUACAGACCCCUCAGACCCUUUUGCCUGCUCCUGGGGAUUCACCCUGCUUCCUCACCAGAGCACUGCCAGAUAUGGAAGAGGUUGAAUAACUUGCUUCAGGUCACACAGGUAGUAAAUGGCAGAGGCAAGAUGUGAGCCCAGGAAGUAUGCCCUGCUACCACUGCGCAGUGGAGGCGUGUGCUGAACCUAAUCAACAAUCUGUCCAUUGUAGCUCUGCAUCCUGCCCUCUUCAUUUUGGACCAAGACUGAAGGAGCAGCCCCUGAGACAUGCCCUCUUGUGACAGAGGAAAAGAGUGAUGGCCGAAACCACACAAUGGCUCUAGCAUUUUUCCCCCAGAGCACACUCUUUUGCCCAAAGCAAGUCACAUGGUCUAACUUGAUGGCAAUCAGGUGGGGAAGUUUAAUCCCCCAAAUAGAGAGGGGCUGGUAGAAAGGACAGCAAAUGUUUUUGAGCAAGUAAUGUAAGUGUACCAAAAAUUACAAGUAAAAAUGUUAACGAUAAAAGCUCUGGGGACAAGAAGAGAGGGCUGCAAUGGAGAGUAACAAUGGAGAAUGAUUUAGACUGACGGUGGUGGUGUUGGCAGCUCUGGAAAGGCUUUUCUGAACAAGUAACAUCUCAGCUCAAACCCAAGAGAUAAAGAGAAGUUAUGCAAUACAAGGGUUGAGAGAAGAGUAAGAGAGGAACAGCAUGUGUAAAAGUCCUGAGGCAGAGAAGAGUUUGGCAUGCUUGAAAUGUUGGCAAGAGGCAGUACCAUGUAUUGGCCAAGAGUGGAGGCAUCCUGGAUUUCAAUCCUAGGUCUAUCCCUUACUAGCCAUGUCUAACUGACCUAUCUGUGUCUCAUUUUCCUCAUGUGUAAGUACUGGGUGUGCUUGGCUCAUGACAGUCAUUAUUACUAAUGGAAAGAAAACCCUGGUGGCUGCAGUGUGAUGACCAAAAAGUAAAAGAAAUGAGGCUGGAGGGUACCCACAUCUGUGGGGACCUGUACAUCUUGGAAAGAUUUGAAUCUUAGUCCUAGAAGGUACUUUAAACUAGGGAGUGACUUAGUUCAGUGUAUACUUUAUAUUUUCCUAUCAUAUUCUGGGGAGAUAUUCUCCACCUAAACAACUAUCUGUUGUUGGAACAUAAUGAAAUCCUAGUGAGACCCUGAUGGACAAAGGGAGGCAGGGGUGGGGUGGAGAGAGAAAUGAGCUUCAGACCAGGAAAGAAUUGAGAGAGGGAUGAGAGAUGGGAGAAGAGAGCUGUCCCUCUGCGCAGUCUGCCUGAUAUGAGAAAGAAGGCAUUUAUUUUAACAAGCAUGGGAAGAGGACAAAAGGGAGGCCGAGGGCUAUUCUUGUUAAGGCCUCAGCAGCCGAGCAGCAGGCACAGUGAGAGGCAGGAGACUGAUGGGGCGAGCUGCAGCCUGGCUCAAAGGGGGUCCCCUGACCUCCAGAAUGGUGAGGGGAGAAGGGGGCUCACCACUGCUCCAAUGACACCUCUAUGGAGAUGCUUUAACACUUCCAGUCUUAUUGCAAGUGGCCUGGUCCUCUGGCUUCCUCUGAACUAGUGCAUCCUCAAACAGCCUUCCCCACCCCGGGAGCCAUGGGUGCUGCUGGGACACGGGGGGUGAGGGGUUGGACAGGGCUCCAGAGAGUCUUGCACUGCAGUGCUUCCGGGGAGAUGGCGCCGCUGCAUCAGCUGGAUGACAAAACACUGUUAAUGGCACCAAUAAAGAAGUGUGAAUGUAAUUUUCUCCUUCUUGUUAUUUCCACAGUAUUUGGCAUAUUAUUUAACAGAUCAACUGGCCAGUCACGAUCCCUUCUGAAGCCAAGUCUUUCUUUUUUGUGCUGGAAGAUUCCUAAAAUGCAGGGCCGCUCAGCUAUAAGCUCAUCAGUUGGAAAUAGGCCAUACCCAAAUGGAGCACAUGACUAAUAACAAAUGAGAAAGUGAUUGAGUUCACUCCAAGUUCUGAAAGCUUUCGAGGAGAGCGGUUAUAGGCUUUGAAGUACCAGUGCUUUGGAGGAAAGAGCAGCUAGGGAAGAAAUGCAGAACUCUACGUCUUAUGCCACAUUAAAAUAUAUAUGUAUGUUAAGUUGGAGGAAGUAUAAAGCUGAGGAUAUAUGUGAUGAGAAUAAAGGCAAUAUUUUGGAGCUUUAGAGUGAGAAGGUCUGGCUAUGGUCAUAGCUACCAUUCCUAAGAAAUUAUUCUGAACGAGGAGCUGUUUGGACACUGCUAUAUUCAGUCACUUAAUGCUCCCAUCUGAGCACUCUGCUUUCUAGGUGAAUAACUAAGGUGAUUUACCUAGGGUCAUACAGUUUAUAAGCUUGGGCAAUCUGGCUUCAAAAUCUAAUGUUACCGUCACACACAUAUCCUGUCUGAUAUACAAAAUGAUGAAGAGGGGCAACUCGGACCUGAGCACUCACAUCUGAAUAUACCCCUUAAAUGCAAGGAGAUAGGAAAGAUACACACAUAACUUUUUACAUAUAUAAAAAAUAUGUUAUAUAAUUUUAUAUAUAGACAUGGACAUUUUCAGAAAGGAAAAACAAACUCUUACCUUUGCAAAGCAGUGUGAGGUGGGUGGGCUUUUCAUCUUAAUCUGUACAGUUAUAAUUUUAGCCAUGGCCAUGUUUUACUACUGUGAUUAAACAUGUUUGGGUUUUUUUUUAAGAUCUAAUUUUUUCCCCUAAUUUUAUAUAUGUACUAAGCCAUAAAUAA